rnacentral:SRP_RNA from 1 species
UGUGCUAUGCUGAUCAGGUGUCUGCUCUGCUCUGAUUUUGGCAUCAAUGUGGUGACCUCCCAGGAGCAGGGGACCACUAGGUUGCCUAAGGAGGGGUAAACCAGAGCCCAAGUUGGAAAUGGAGCAGGUCAAAACUCCCGAGCUGAUCAGUAGCAGCAUCGCACCUGUGAAUAGUCA